CUGUAACCCAUGUAAAGCACAGCCUCACCUCCUGUCUUUGUUAGGAUCUAGAUACUCCCUACUGGCUACUGGAGGAGAAAAUGCUGUAAGGGGCAAAGGGGAAACUAGGAAGUGGAUUUCAAUGGACCAUUAGUAUAUUUCCCACUUUAUAGUAAAUGUUUUUUUUUUUUUCUUUUUUACACAGUAAGAAAAAAUGAAGUUUCAUAAGUGGUUUGGAUUCUUAAAAUGUUUAUUAAUUUGGUAACAAUUAUAAAGAUUUUAUAAAGAAAUCUU
rnacentral:lncRNA from 1 species